rnacentral:rRNA from 1 species
GAUGAACGCUGGCGGCGUGCUUAACACAUGCAAGUCGAACGGGAAAUAUUUCAUUGAGACUUCGGUGGAUUUGAUCUAUUUCUAGUGGCGGACGGGUGAGUAACGCGUGGGUAACCUGCCUUAUACAGGGGGAUAACAGUCAGAAAUGGCUGCUAAUACCGCAUAAGCGCACAGAGCUGCAUGGCUCAGUGUGAAAAACUCCGGUGGUAUAAGAUGGACCCGCGUUGGAUUAGCUUGUUGGUGGGGUAACGGCCCACCAAGGCGACGAUCCAUAGCCGGCCUGAGAGGGUGAACGGCCACCUUGGGACUGAGACACGGCCCCGACUCCUACGGGAGGCAGCCGUGGGGAAUAUUGCACAAUGGGGGAAACCCUGAUGCAGCGACGCCGCGUGAAGGAAGAAGUAUCUCGGUAUGUAAACUUUUAUCAGCGGGGAAGAUAGUGACGGUACCUGACUAAGAAGCCCCGGCUAACUACGUG